UGAAAAAGGGCGGGAAGCCGUGAGGGGGCGGCGUUCCCGCCCUCAGCCUCGCCUCGGGGCCGGCGGACAGAUAAUUGCUGAAAUGGAACUGAGAAAUAUCACGGCGGCAUUGGCAUGAAACUUGCAAAAGAAAAGGAUUGAUUUAUACAAUGUGUGCAGGUUCUUGCUGGAUUUGAACAGUUUCCAGAGAAGAAAUUGUCUGAUCUAGAUGAUGGAGAGAGGGGAGCGCUGAAGCAUUUGGGAAGAGGAAGCCCUUUCCUGACAGGCGGUGUUGGCCGGGCGCUGUAACACAGCAUCGGACUGUGCCGGAAAGGUAAUCCGUGUGCCGGGCUCCAUCUCACCAGAGCUCUGCAGUGCCAUCAGGAGCACAGCAAUGAACAUCCACCUUCCUGCCCCUUAUCCCCUGCCACUGAGGCUUUCUGGAUGCAGGGCCUUAGCCUUUGAUCAGUUUAUUGAUCUUUCAGUGUAGGAUCUAACUUUGCUGCAGGGGCACCAUAAAUACAGUAUUGCACGAGUCAUUUAUUUUUAUUGAUUAGUUGCCACUGCUAAAUUCUGGCUACUGAAUUAAUGGAUGCUGAAUAACUACUUUGAUUAAUGAAGCUAAAAUUGGCUUUAGCAUCCUGCGCUAACUACAGGCAAUUUUUUCUAUUACAAAGCUAAUAAUUUCUUUUUUUAUGAUCCACAAUUAAUUUCAUUAUUUGACUUAUCCUUGGCACCUCACUGGAAGCCACAGAGUAAUGAAACAGGAGCUAUUUAUAAAUGUUCAUAAUUUACAGUAUCACACAAGAACAUCCUUACUCUAAGUGCAUACUUAAACACUAGAAUUAGUAGGUGAAUUUGACCAAAUGACUGCAUUUCAGAAGGUAAAAUUUUAGAAGAUUAAUUUGAGGUGCUGCCUCUUUUGCCACUGUUUUGGCACAUUCUAGAUGUGUCUUCACAAGGUAGGUGAAAACAUUCAUGAAUAAGUGUUCUGACACACAGUUCAGGUGUCAUAGAGGUGUUGUCUUCCAUAUUUCCUUUUUUACAAAAAAAGUUCCAUCUUUAUUUAUUUGGCAUUUGAUUUUUAUUGGAACAUAUUUUGGAAGAUAUGCAUUUUCCUUUCUUCCUUGGUAAGUAUAAGGUGGGCCCAUCUUUUCUUUUUCCUGAGCCUUCUCUACACAAUAAAAACCCCUAGUGGAGGUGAACAUUGCUCACCCUCCAUAGGUGGUCUAGAGCCUAAGCAUCAACAUUGUGAGAGUCACUAGGAAUGUGUGUAAGAAAGCAACUCAUCACAAGGGAGAAUAAGACAGUUGUAAGGCAGAGAAUUCCCAGAUCUGUUUGGCAAACUACUUUGUUAGAGCUGCUUGGAAAAUGUGACGCACUGUGGUGACUUCCCAGUGUUGAGGAAUGCAGUCAGUGCAGGAGACCAGCGGAGACACAGCAGGAGAGGAAGACUCCAGACUGUCAAGCACUCAGACUGUGAGGGUGUAAAAAGCCAGGGUUUCCUUUGUUUGGGGUUCCUCAUUCCAGACACCAAACUGGAGCUGCUAUUUCUCUUAUUGCACCAUGAGUAAAGUAUUUUAAGGGUUGUGAUGUCUGAGGCUCUGCCAUGGGGAUCCUGGGGUCCAGCCGAUGAGGAGACCUGGUCUGGCUGUGAGUGUGGAGUGCCCAGGUGUGAAGGGGCCUCAGUCCCAGGUGCAAGAGUGACUCCAGGGUGUCCAGACAGGCCAGGUUCCUUAACAACUGCAGUUAACAGCUCUCAAGGUUUUCAUUAAUUUUUAUUUGACAAAUAGCCCAGGUAAGGUAUCUUUAUCUGUGGCAGUAUUUGUUCAUGUCCUAGACUCUUUUGACUAACCUGAAGCGAUUGGUCCUUUGAUCAUAUAACAAAAAUGCAGAUAAUCAUUUUGAGAGAGAACCCAGGAGUUGGAAGGUGUGUUAAUUUAUCAGGUGUAUUGGGCUGGAGUUCUGUAGGGUUUGUGAUAAGGCAUUAUCAUGAGAGAUUCUUUUACACAAAGAAAUAAAGCCAUCACACCUAAUCUUGAUGGGUUUAUUUAGAUAUGAAUCUAUAGCUGACAUCAAAGAGUAUGAC